CCUACGGGCGGCAGCAGUGAGGAAUAUUGGUCAAUGGGCGAGAGCCUGAACCAGCCAAGUCGCGUGAGGGAGUACUGCCCUAUGGGUUGUAAACCUCUUUUGUCGGGGAGCAAAAGCCGGACGUGUCCGGCUGUGAGAGUACCCGAAGAAAAAGCAUCGGCUAACUCCGUGCCAGCAGCCGCGGUAAUACGGGGGAUGCGAGUGUUAUCCGGAUUUAUUGGGGUUAAAGGGUGCGCAGGCGGAUUUUUAAGUCAGCGGUCAAAUCGUGGGGCUCAACCCCAUCCAGCCGUUGAAAAUGGGGAUCUAGAGUGUGCGAGAGGUAUGCGGAAUGCGUGGUGUAGCGGUGAAAUGCAUAGAUAUCACGCAGAACCCCGAUUGCGAAGGCAGCAUACCGGUGCACAACUGACGCUCAGGCACGAAAGCGUGGGUAUCGAACAGGAUUAGAUACCCUUGUAGUC
rnacentral:rRNA from 1 species